GAAUUGGGAUGGGCAAAGCUUGGUGGAAGGGUUGGGAGCAACAGGAUUUGGGAACGGACCAGGCACUGCAGCCCUGCUGCACACAACCAAAUCCUGCUUUUGAUACUCAUUACCCCCCUCCCUGUUUGGUUUUGGUGCUUUAUUCAUUGUAUGGGACUCACCCUGGGCCGUCACAUGGAGAAUCAGGAGUGCCAGGUCCUCCCCUCUGCGUGUGCAUGGCGUGUGAAAGGGCCAUCAUGUUGGUGCAGUGGCUUAAAGCAGAGGCAGCACCACGCAGGAACCCUUCCCUUACGUCGCUCUAGACGCCGCUCUGGUGCGGAAGCAUCUGUUCUUCCCAGGAAAAGCAUGAGUCAGAAGGGAUGAGAAGGGAUACGGCUAAAUUUGUCCCUCGGGAUGAGGAACGCAGUGCCAGGUGGGCCCAGCAGUGGCUCCUCGCUGGCACAAGAUGUUCUUAUCGAUGGCUUUUCUUUCCUUUUUGCUUUUUUAAACCUCAUUAGCAGGACUGUUAAUAUCUGUUCUGUAAUGAGAGCAGAGCCUGUACUGGCACCAUGGGACUGGCUGAAUUCAGGCUGGCUGCUCUGCGGGAGCCCAUCCCCAUGCUGUCUGGGCUGUUAAAAGACAAUGAGAUGCUUGCUCCCAUUACCCCUCUUCACCUUGGUUGUCUUUUUGGCUGAGUAUCUUUACUCCUCCCUGCGUGUGUUGGCUGGGAAGUGCAGUUUGCUCCUCUUGGAGGUGAGGGCUGGAAUCUACAGGAACAGGGAUGUCACCUCCAAUCUGGCAGCAAAAGAGGAAACUUGAUGUCAAACUCCAUUCCCAUCAGUGAUGUGGAGCUGCUGCUUCCUGGGAAAGGGCUGGAGGUGGGAGCCUGUUCGCCUUCCCAAGCAACUGGGAUGAGUGGGGGCCUCCCAGUGCCGUGUUUCCCUGUUUUUCCCUAUUUAUAUGUGCUUUGACUGGGCAGGUUUCUGCUAAGCUGGCAGUUCCUCAUCACUUGUGUUGGCAGUGGGCAUCUUGCUGGGUGACCUCGGGCCCUGUGCCAACGAGCAUCCCCAAUCCCAGGGCUGCAUCCCCAAUCCCAAGGCUCUGGCUGCCUUUUGAUGCGUGCAUGGAUGGAUAAAGGACCAUACUGGGGAGAGGGUGGGCAGGAGAAACAGGGGCCAGGCAGGCUGGUCCAGGCUGUAGAGGGGGUUGGACAUGGAAAGCAGGUGCUGUAGUGGUAGUUAAGGAUUUAUCCUGGUUGGAAUGGGGUGGGACACAUGCUAUGGAGGAGACUUUGCCCAGAUUUUUGCUUUGCCAUCAAAAAUACCAAUUUCUCUCCUAGAGGAGGCUUUUAUUCUUGUUCUCCUGAGGUUCCAGGGGACCAAGAGGGCUGCAAAGGGGGUGCCCAUCAUGCCAGGAUAAGGCAUUCCUGUGGUCUGGAAGCUCCUCUGAUUUCCACCCCUUCCCCUCGGCACUUCUAUUAUAAAACAAAAGAACUAAUUUCCAGCUGAGCCCCAGUAUCUCUUAUCUAAAGAAACGAUAUUGGUGUUUGGAACCUGCGUUGUAUAUACAAACCUGAAACAAAUAGAUAGUUACUUUCUAUUUUAGAAGGGGGGGGAAGAGGAAAUAUUUAAGUGAAUUCCUUAGAUGUAGGUGUCAGAAACCUCUGUGCAGCGGGAGAGAGGCUGGCAGAGGUGGGGAGAGUGGGAACAGCGGGAGCAGGGCGAGUAGUUUGCCAUCCUCUUGCGCUUUGGCUUCUCUGCUUCUCCAUCCACCUAUAAAUAGACAAAAAGAUAUAUAUACAAAUCUAUCUAUAUAUAUAUAUAUAAAUUCUAUAUAUCUAAGUCACAUAGCUGUUUUAUUUUUGUAUCCAUGCCUAGUGCUGUUUGAGCAAUAUGGUGGCCAAGGAGAGGAGGGUUGGGUAAGGCUGGGGGGCUCAGAGGGCUCCAUUGGCUCUGGCUGCUCUCCCAGCAUCGCUGCUGUUUGCUGUUUUGAUAGGGAAAAACAUGGAAAAGGGAGGGAAAAGGGAAAAAUCCCCGGGAUUGGGGGGAGCCUGGGCACCCCGUUUGCCGCCAGCUUGCUGGUAAGGAAGUGGUUUUCCCACUGAGGGCUGUGUCUUGCUUGGAUUUUAUUGCUUCUCCAGAUGAAUUUCAGCUCCAGGGGUGCUGUUUUCAACGGGAAGGAUGAGGCCUGUGGGGUGGCACAGGACGGGGGACACGCUGUGGGGACAGGCUCCCCACGCCACUACCUCGCUGGGUGCCAGCGGGCACCCAUCCUCGCCGCCUUGGUGUUAAUCCUGAUGGAUCCCAUGGCUUAUGGAGCUGCCUGGGUGGCCGUGGUGAGGUCCCCUUAGGUCCCCGUGCCUGGCUGGAGCAGGGCACCUUCUCUGUAGGCACGUCAAUACCUCUAUAACAAACACAAGAUCUCCAAGCAUCAGGGUUUUACUGGUGCCGUGCAGGCUGCUGGUACCCGGGGAGGGAUGCGAAGCUUCAUUCCCAGUGUGUGGAAUGGCAUGGAGCCCUGGCUUGGUGGGCAGCAGGCACCAUGGAGAAGGUGCUGGGGUGCUCAGGGCCUUUCCUGCAAAGCAGUAUGGACCCGCUAUCCCCUUUCCCUGUGUGGUGAGGGGAAGAAGAGCCAGUUUUGGGACCGAGCAAUGCCAAGGAGUGGCAAACCAUCCCCUCUGCCUCCUUUAGGGCAGGAUUUGGGGAUUGCCUUUGGGCAGCGGUGCUUCUGCUCCCCUCCAGCUUGGUCCCAUGGUCCUUACCACUAUGGGGUGGGGGGGACCCAGAUGUUUUUGGGGCUCAGAUGUCUCUGCAUGGAGAUGGGAUGGCGGGGCAGACCCUGGGUACUUCAUGCCUCUGGGACCAGGCAGAGGACCCUCACUGUUGUCAUGGGCUGAGACACGAAUGUAAUGCCCAGGAGCUGGUCCCCUCAUGUCCUCCGUAGGUGUCACCUGUAUUUUCCAUGAUAUUUCUGUCUUCUUUGUCGGGAUCGGGAUGGGGAGGGUGGGGGGGAGGGGGGUGGGGGGGGGGUUGGUGGUAUAUUUCUAAUAUCAAGCCAAGAGUUGUUCAGCACCAAUUCUUGAUAUCGAAGCAAAAGCAUGUUUGGUGGGACUAACUUGCAUUUAUUAGAGGUAAAUACAUAAGUAAGUAUUUUCUAUGUUAAAACAAGGCAAAGGAUGGGAGGAGGAAGAGGAGGAAUGAGACUUCUCACUGGUUCGAGGGGCUGCGUUGCCUCCAAGCAGUGGGGCUUUGGGGUAGUGCUGGGGUGGGUUGGGGUGGGUUGGGGGGGGGGGGGGGGGGGGGGGCAGCUUUCUCCUUUCCCUAUUUCCCCUGGAAUCACUUACAGAAAAAAAACAGGAAAAAGAAGAAGGAAACACAAAACUCAGAUGUUUACAAAGCACAUUUGCCACCGUUAACCCUCUGGAUGCCAAACAGACACGUCAAGAGCUGCUCCUCCCCAUGUGCCAUGGGAUGGAGGGGUGGCUGCACCAACGCCAUCAUCCUGCUUCCCUUGGGAUCAUUGACUCUGGUCGUAUCUUUUCCUUUGGUACACUCAGCCCUGCUUCCUCCAUCCACCUGCUGGCAGGAGCUUGCUUUUUGGGGGGGUGUUUGCUUCCUCUGCCCCCUUUCCAGCCUCUUCCUGCUCGGCUUUGGGAGCGGUGGGAAAGCACCUGUCUCCACUCGGGGAGGUUUUGGCUUGGUGGGAGGCGCUGGACCUGCUUCCUGCCUUCCCAGAUGCACUUUAAGGCCAAACUCCUCCUUUUUCUUAUCUAUGGGGCUGGUAGAGAGCAGGCAGAGGAUGCUCCUGUGGUCCUGGAGGGCUGCAGGACCUUCCCUAGGCUGUGUGGGCUCCGGUUCCUUUGCCUUUCCUGCUUGGAAAAGCCCCAUAGAAAUAGAAAUCCUUCUGGACACAUCUAAGUUGCCGUAAGUUACUCGAACCAUCCUUUUGGGCUUUCAGAGAUUGCACAUGUGCAAUCCCUGGAUCCUGGGGGAGCAUCUCCAGCUCUCCUGGGGGAGCAUCCCUGGAUCCCAUGGGGAGCAUCUCCACUUCUCCCAGGGGUGCAUCCCUGUCUCCCCUGGGGAGCUCAGACUUUUUACUCCCCUUUGCUAGGUUUGUAGAGUCUCUGAACCCUCAUAGAUCUCCCUUAGGUAGCUCUUGAUUUCAUUCCCUCCUAACUCCAUAGUGUUUUCCCUAAGGCUGGAUUUUCUUCUGGACCCACCAGGUCUCUGGUUGCUUGCAACAUCUUUUCCCACUUCUUUAGGAAGAACUUCUUGCCUGUGGAUAGAAAGACUAAGACCAUCCAACCUCAUUUCCAUUUCUUGAAUGUCCAGUAUUCCGAUCUAUAACACACAUUAGGGUGCUCUUUGGUGCUGUUUCAAUGGGAACCAGUGGAACUGCCUUUUUUUUCCCCCCAUAACAAUAAAGGAAUCUUUAGGACCGCUGGUUCCA